rnacentral:rRNA from 1 species
UACGUAGGGUGCGAGCGUUGUCCGGAAUUACUGGGCGUAAAGAGCUCGUAGGUGGUUUGUCGCGUUGUUCGUGAAAACUCACAGCUUAACUGUGGGCGUGCGGGCGAUACGGGCAGACUGGAGUACUGCAGGGGAGACUGGAAGUUCCUGGUGUAGCGGUGGAAUGCGCAGAUAUCAGGAGGAACACCGGUGGCGAAGGCGGGUCUCUGGGCCAUAACUGACGCUGAGAAGCGAAAGCAUGGGGAGCGAACAGG